rnacentral:rRNA from 1 species
AAGGAUCAUUAUCGAGUUAGGGUCCUCCGGGCCCCAUCUCCAACCCUUGUCUACCACGUCGCCCCGGCGCUUCGGCCGGGGCGACUUUUGAAAAUUUCCUUUUAAAUUCUUCAACCAUGACGUCCUGCGGGAGAAAAAUCAAUCAAUCAAAACUUUCAACAACGGAUCUCUUGGUUCUGGCAUCGAUGAAGAACGCAGCGAAAUGCGAUAAGUAAUGCGAAUUGCAGAAUUCCGUGAGUCAUCGAAUCUUUGAACGCACAUUGCGCCCUUUGGUAUUCCGAAGGGCAUGCCUGUUCGAGCGUCAUUAUCAACCCUCAAGCCCGGCUUGCUGUUGGAUCUCGCCGCUGGCGACGGCGGUGGAUCCGAAAGAUAAUGGCAGAGUCUGUGAGACCCCCUGGAUGCAGCGAGCUUCUUCAGCACGCAUCGCAAUGGCCUCGCGGCUCGGUCUUAACCGACAAAAUUUCAUCUGGUUGACCUCGGAUCAGGUAGGGAUACCCGCUGAACUUAA